rnacentral:misc_RNA from 1 species
AACGCACAUUGCGCCUCUCUUUACCGGGAUGCAUGCCUGUCUGAGCGUCAUUUAAACCAAAUGAACAAUAUUGUUCGUGUUGGGCUUCACCUUUGGGUGUUGCCUUGAAGUAAUGGGUCUAAAUUAGCGGAUGAGAUCCUUUUGGACUAACCGCAAAUUGGACAAGAUGGCUGUCUGUUUGACCUCAGAUCAGGUAGGGACACCGCCUGAACUUAA